rnacentral:rRNA from 1 species
UACAGAGGGGGCAAGCGUUGUUCGGAAUUACUGGGCGUAAAGGGCGCGUAGGCGGCCUUCUAAGUCGAACGUGAAAUCCCUGGGCUUAACCCAGGAACUGCGUCCGAUACUGGAAGGCUUGAAUCCGGGAGAGGGAUGCGGAAUUCCAGGUGUAGCGGUGAAAUGCGUAGAUAUCUGGAGGAACACCCGUGGCGAAGGCGGCUCUCUGGAACGCAACUGACGCUGAGACGCGAAAGCGUGGGGAGCAAACAGG